rnacentral:rRNA from 1 species
AGUGAACGCUGGCGGUAGGCCUAACACAUGCAAGUCGAACGGCAGCACAGUAAGAGCUUGCUCUUACGGGUGGCGAGUGGCGGACGGGUGAGGAAUACAUCGGAAUCUACUUUUUCGUGGGGGAUAACGUAGGGAAACUUACGCUAAUACCGCAUACGACCUACGGGUGAAAGCAGGGGAUCUUCGGACCUUGCGCGAUUGAAUGAGCCGAUGUCGGAUUAGCUAGUUGGCGGGGUAAAGGCCCACCAAGGCGACGAUCCGUAGCUGGUCUGAGAGGAUGAUCAGCCACACUGGAACUGAGACACGGUCCAGACUCCUACGGGAGGCAGCAGUGGGGAAUAUUGGACAAUGGGCGCAAGCCUGAGCCAGCCAUACCGCGUGGGUGAAGAAGGCCUUCGGGUUGUAAAGCCCUUUUGUUGGGAAAGAAAAGCAGCAGGUUAAUACCCCGCUGUUCUGACGGGACCCAAAGAAUAAGCACCGGCUAACUUCGU